AUGGAUGGAAAUGCAGCAGCUGAUGGGGGUGAGCCCACCUACGAUCCAAUGAAAGAUCCAACAAGGAAGCCACAACGGUCAAAUGAUCCGGGAUGGAACUAUGGAUAUUGGUUUGAGCCUCCAAAUCGGGAUCUUGUUGUGUGCGCUCUUUGUGGCAAGAUAACUUCUGGAGGGAUCAAGAGGCAUAAAGAGCAUCUUGCGGGCGUCGGGGGAGAUGCAAUUGGUUGUCCUAAGGCCACCACACAAUUGAGGAGAGAAAUGGGAACAUAUUUGGAGCAAAAUAGGAGGAUCAAGGGAGUAGUAGAUGUAGAUGAUGUUCAGGAGGUUGUGGAGGUGAGUUCAGUUGGAGCAAACAUCGCCUCUAAAAGGCCAAGCUCAGGGACAGCAGCCAAACAGAAUAAGAAAGCGUUUAUCACCAACAUGCAAGGUAAAAAGAAGUCUGUUUCUGUUGUGUCUGCCGCCAAUAGUUCCAAGCCAAUUGUUGCCAUGCUACGAAGAACACCCGAGGAUCUUGUAGAUGAAAGACGCUCUGGGUGUUCUCAAAGCACCAUGGAGUCCAGCACAAAGACUCCAGAAGAGAGGCAGUAUGUCAAUAUGCAGUGGGCAUUGUUCUUUUACGAGUGUGGCAUUCCAUUCAACGCUGCAAGUAGUAGGCAGUUUGAGGUUGCAAUUGAAGCCUCUUGUCAAUAUGGGUCAGGUUACAAGCCUCCUAGUGCACAUGAGCUGAGAGAGAAAUUGCUUAAUGAUUGUGUGAAGGAAACAGGACUUUUGAGGAGGCAACACGAGGCAGCAUGGAAAAAAUAUGGAUGCACACUCAUGUCGGAUGGCUGGUCGGAUAAAAGAGGACGCCAUUUGAUUAACUUCCUUGUUAAUAGUCCAGAGGGCACUUUCUUCUUGGAGUCGGUUGAUGCCUCAAGUGUAUAUCAUGAUGGUGAUAUGAUAGCUGAUUUGCUUGAGAAGAGAAUUCUGGAUGUUGGAAAAGAGAAUGUGGUACAAGUUAUCACCGAUAAUGGUGCUAAUUACAAGAAAGCUGGCCACCUUCUAAUGGAGAGGAUGCCUACUCUAUAUUGGAGCCCGUGUGCAUGUCAUUGCUUGGACCUAAUGUUGGAAGAUAUAGGAAAGUUGAAGGCAUUUAAGAAGCCUAUUGCAGGGGCUAGACGUGUCACAACUUUCAUCUAUAGACAUGGAAGACUUCUUAGUCUAAUGAGGAAGGCCACGGGUGGGGAUCUUGUGAGACCAGCAGCCACUCGUUUUGCCACAGCCAUCCUCACACUUAGGAGUUUGGUCAAGAACAAGGCUGCAUUGAGGAGUUUAUUUACAUCUGAAGAAUGGGUUGGAAACAAGUUAGCAAAAACACAAGUUGGCUUGAAUGUGCAAGAGAUUAUACUUUCAACGGAGUGGUGGAGCGCAAUUGAGGACUGCCUUAGAGCUUCAACUCCACUUCUUAGAGUUCUUAGAGUAGCAGAUGGUGAUGAGAAGCCUGCCAUGCUAGAGAUUAAAGCACUUAUGAUUUAUGCAAAGGAGAGGAUCAAUCUAGGUUUCCCUCAACAAAACAAGCAACCAUUGCUCAAGAAGAUCUCGGCCAUUGUUGAUAAGCGUUGGGAGAAUCAAAUGGAUCAUCCAUUGUAUGGGGCUGCUCUAUUUUUGAACCCAGGAAAGUUCUUUCCUAUUGUAAGCAGAAAUGAUGAUGCCUUAGUUGGGGAGCUUAGGAGCUGCUUUAAUGAUGUGCUUGCAAAAAUGGUACCGGAUGCCAAUGUUCGAAAAAAGAUUGAUCAACAAUCUGUGCUCUAUGAGCAACAGCGAGAAAGCUUUUCUAAUCCAUUGGCACUUGAGACCAUGAGCACAAGAAACCCUCUUGAUUGGUGGAGUUCAUUUGGUGGUCGGGCCAUUGACCUGCAAAGGUUUGCAAAGCGCAUUGUUAGUCUUUGUGCUUCAUCAUCUGGUUGUGAGAGGAAUUGGAGCACGUUUGAAUUUAUCCAUACAAAGAAAAGGAACAGAUUACAAUGGAAAAGGUUGAAUGAUCUUGUCUUUGUUUCAUACAACCGGAAGAAUAUGCAACGCUUUGAGGCUUUGGUCAUUGAGGAUUUUGAUUGGGGCAAUGAGUGGGUGGACCCAUCACUAUCACAACCUCAAGGUGCUCGAGGUUGUCCUGAAGACAAUCAAGACAUUACAUGGGAGGAUGUUGAUGUGGCUAUUGAAUUCUGUUGGGGAGAAAAGCAAGUGCAAAGAGGAUGGGGGCUCUACAACAAUCAGUUGCAAGGUGUGUAUGGCUGUAUGCCUACCAAAUUCUACUUAAUUCUGUUGCUUACAAGUCUCUAA
rnacentral:rRNA from 1 species